CUAAUCCCACCCCUUCUCGGUACUUCUGUCACCAGCCGCCGCCCCACACCAAACCAUCCCAGCUGCUGACCACACGCAUCCCACAUGGUUCAGUGGCCGCCUCCACCCCACCCCAUUGGAGCACGCCGAGUUGCCAAGUCCAGCGCAUGCAUGUAGAGGACGACGGUGGCAGCACCCAAACCUAGUUGUCGCCCUGACGAUUGAGCCAUUCGGGAAGCUAUCUGCGCCUGCAUCCAGAUCUGGCGUCCUCGCGCUGCCACCGCUACCUACUAUCCCCGACGUGGAUUGGAGAUCCUGCUAGGGCCUAAUUGCUCCUCCUCCUUCCCUGGAGCACUGGAUGAACAUGCUUUCUGCGUUCUCUAAUUGGCAGCACAUUAACUGAAUGAAGGGUUUGUGCAGAUUAUUCAUUGGACUCUGCUCCACUCUGGUACUAAUAAUUUCGACUAUUGCUCAUACUAUUUGCCAUGGUCAUCUUUCCAUUCUUUAUGCUAUAGUGCUAAUCUACAAUUAGCCUAUACAAAAAAUAAAGCAUCCUUUCACUAGAAUUUUUCUAGAUAAAUGCAAGUGCUUUUUGAUUAAUAGUAUCUAGUUAUUGAGCUCCUUUGGUGGACUGUUUGUCUGUUGAUUAUUUUGUAGGAUACAAUACUAUGGUCCAUUGAUUAUUAUUUUCUAGGAUACAGUACUAUGGUCCAUUGAUUAUUAGUAAGUCCUGUUUAUUUCUAGAAUUCACUUAUUGAUUAAGUUGCCUCUAUGUAACGGACUUUCAUCUUUUUGGAUAAUUCUCUCUUUUAAGUCUUGUUUUUUCUAGCAUGACAAGGCAAUUGUGCCAAACCAACUCGAAAUAACAGCUACAAGGUUGGAGGGGACCGAAUUGUUGCUAGGAUGGAGGAGACAAAACAGUUACAUGGUUGGAGGCGAUAAAUAUGUCGAUAUGGUUGUAUGAAUAUUAUUAGUUGUAUAAAUUGCUACAUGGAUGGCGAUAAAUAUGUCGAUAUUGGUUGUAUGAAUAUUAUUAGUUGUAUAAAUUAGUAUUGUUUUAAAUCUCUUUGUCAUCUAUGUGUAAAUAGGCGUACUUUUUGUAUAUAUAAACAUAUUUGACUAAAUGGUUUGUAAAUAUGAUUUGAUCUAUUUGGGAAUGCCAAAAAAUAUCAG